GACAGAGGGGGCAAGCGUUGCUCGGAAUCACUGGGCGUAAAGGGCGCGUAGGCGGGAUGGCAAGUCGGUCGUGAAAUCCUUCGGCUCAACCGAAGAACGUCGGCCGAUACUGCCGUUCUUGAGGGAUGCAGAGGAGAUUGGAAUUCCCGGUGUAGCGGUGAAAUGUGUAGAGAUCGGGAGGAACACCGGUGGCGAAGGCAGCUCGCUGGGACGUGACUGACGCUGAGACGCGAAAGCGUGGGGAGCAAACAGG
rnacentral:rRNA from 1 species